AAACUGCGAUAACUAGUGUGAAUUGCAGAAUUCAGUGAAUCAUCGAAUCUUUGAACGCACCUUGCGCUCCUUGGUAUUCCUUGGAGCAUGCCUGUUUGAGUAUCAUGAAAUCUUCAAAGUAAAUCUUUUGUUAACUCAAUUGGUUUCUACUUUGGUAUUGGAGGUCUUUGCAGCUUCACACCUGCUCCUCUUUGUUCAUUAGCUGGAUCUCAGUGUUAUGCUUGGUUCCACUCGGCGUGAUAAGUUAUCUAUCGCUGAGGACACUGUAAAAGGUGGCCAAGGUAAAUGCAGAUGAACCGCUUCUAAUAGUCCAUUGACUUGGACAAUACUUUUAUGAUCUGAUCUCAAAUCAGGUAGGACUACCCGCUGAACUUAAGC
rnacentral:misc_RNA from 1 species